CUGCAACAGGUAUACUCUUGUAUUUAGAAUUGAUAACUAGUAAGGGUGAAAAGCUUAUCUCACAAAGGUAUGUUUUUGGAAAAGGAAGAAUCAGGCAGAGUGCUAUCUCAGUCAGAACAGGAAAUGACUGCAAAAACUUUCUCCAUAAUUUGGCACAUCUUCAACUCUCAUGUGGAAUGGGCUUCUAGCAAGACAAAAAGUGUGUGAGGUAUAUUAGGAAAAUAUCUUCUUAUUUCUUCCUCAAGAAUUUGGAAGUAAUCAUUGACAGAAAGUAUUGUUUUGUUCAUUUUUUCCUGUUCAAUAUAAUUUUCCUCAAACCUCAUGUACAUAUAUUUUAUUAUUACAUUUGUAAACAAAGAAGGAAUUAUGAUUUGUGAGGGAAUAAAAACAAUUUGAAACU
rnacentral:lncRNA from 1 species